rnacentral:rRNA from 1 species
CCUACGGGUGGCUGCAGUGGGGAAUAUUGGACAAUGGGGGGAACCCUGAUCCAGCCAUGCCGCGUGUGUGAAGAAGGCCCUCGGGUUGUAAAGCACUUUCAGUGAGGAAGAACGCCUGGUGGUUAAUACCCAUCAGGAAAGACAUCACUCACAGAAGAAGCACCGGCUAACUCCGUGCCAGCAGCCGCGGUAAUACGGAGGGUGCGAGCGUUAAUCGGAAUUACUGGGCGUACAGCGCGCGUAGGUGGCUUGAUAAGCCGGUUGUGAAAGCCCCGGGCUCAACCUGGGAACGGCAUCCGGAACUGUCAAGCUAGAGUGCAGGAGAGGAAGGUAGAAUUCCCGGUGUAGCGGUGAAAUGCGUAGAGAUCGGGAGGAAUACCAGUGGCGAAGGCGGCCUUCUGGACUGACACUGACACUGAGGUGCGAAAGCGUGGGUAGCAAACAGGAUUAGAUACCCCAGUAGUC